UACGGGGGGGGGUAAGCGUUGUUCGGAAUUACUGGGCGUAAAGGGCUCGUAGGCGGCCAACUAAGUCGGACGUGAAAUCCCUCAGCUUAACUGGGGAACUGCGUCCGAUACUGGAUGGCUUGGAUUUGGGAGAGGGAUGCGGAAUUCCAGGUGUAGCGGUGAAAUGCGUAGAUAUCUGGAGGAACACCGGUGGCGAAGGCGGCAUCCUGGACCGAGAUUGACGCUGAGGCGCGAAAGCCAGGGGAGCAAACGGG
rnacentral:rRNA from 1 species